UAACUCUCAUUGUGCUGCUGUCACAUGUAUGGUAUGAUUAGUACCAUAGGACUAUUUUUAGAGCUAUUUCUUACCUUCAUCUGCUCCUACAAAUGUGUCUGAUGUAUACACCAUUUUAAGCUGCUCUGUCUAUGUUUGGAGCGUUUCAGGUCUGAAGACUUAACUAGGUUCAAAUUGAUUUUCAUCAUGUUUGGAGUUUAAACUAUUUGACCUAAACACAAUACCUGGUUUUGCAAGAAAUGUUGUUUUUAUGGAAGUAUUUCAAAUUUUCAAUAAUACUCCAGUAUAUCUCAGGGAUCCAUUAGAGAUUGAGGGUACCCACACACACACGCACUGGCACAGGACACUUUGGCUGAGGCCUGUUUGUUGAUGAUGCAUGCAUUAACAAGAGUGUAAUAAUCAUGUUGUUCUCCUCAUCCUGGUAGGAUUUGGAGGACGACUCAGUGACACGAUAAAAUCCCUUAAGGAUGUCUUUUUAGUCACACUGCUCUGGUGGUGCUUCAUCUCUUGAAAACGUUGAUUCAGUGAAGACCAGUGUAGUCAAGGCGUGCACUUUUCUGCACCUAAGCCACAAUGUGGCGCAAGGAUAGUGCCUUGCCUCAAACAAGGCACAAGCAUGUUUAUAAGACAUGGACUUUUUAUGCCUUUUUGCGCUUUUGCUUCAAGGUAUUAGGAAGUAAAACACGCGCCUUAUUGUUAGUGUUCAAAGGAAUAUAAAUCAUAAAUUAAAAAAAUAAAGAAAAAUGAAAAAUCUAUGCACAAAUGGUAGGUUGUCUACGUCUACGACAAAGUCAUUGACUUAGAUAGAAGAGCAUAAUCAUUGGCGUCUAAGGAUAAAAGCAAAACCAUUAGUCAGCAACAAGGUAUAUAUACUUAUUUUGAAAAAAAAAAUACAAGGUAUUUGUCACUCCUCAUUCUUACUUAUGAUUUAUAAGAAGAAGAAGUAGAGAUUGGACCACAUCAACGAUAAUUAGGAGUUAAACAAUGCAAACAGAACGAGAGCAUUACGGUGGAUGAUUAUGAUAUAUCGUUUUUGAAUGAGUAUUAGACUGUUAAUUAUAUCAAGGAUUUUAUAUUAUGGAGCUUGUUAGUUGAUAAGUUCUUCAUUUAUAGAGUUAUUUACUUUUAUUAUUAGGACUGAAGUUUGUUUCAAAUUGCUUGACAUUUUAUUAGUUAACCUUUCUAGUAAAGUAGUAAACUAUGAUUAAGUAUUAUCUUUUAAUUUCUAAAAUAUUGUUGACAUUUAGAGAAAAAAAUAAUAAUAACCAUUUACAUAUUUUCUUAAUAAUUUUUUCUUUUCAUUUGUUUACGCUAAAUUAAUGUCAGCGCUCCGCACCUUGCGGCGUAAGGCACAAAAAUGGUAUUGCACUAUUGCCUCUUGGUGCCUUGAGCACUUGACUACCUCGGUAACGACCUUAGCUGCUUUUUUUAACCGACUUGACUACUUGAGCAUUGCCUCCACUGAUAUUAAUAUAAAGAGAUAAGGAGAAGUCCAAAUAGCAAUAAUAAUACAAGUUCAAACAGUGAGAAAUUUACAAGCUGCUUCACAAAAUCACUGAAGGUCUGAAGCUUAGAUCCAUUAACAUCAUCUUGUUCCCUAGAAGAACAGAGACAAAACUGUACUGUGGAUAUUGGGUGAGAAAUUGGAGUAAUAGGAUAGUAUUGCAGAAUGCAGUGCAGACUAGAAUCACAUAAAUACAACAGUAAAAAUGUAAAAUAAAUGGGAAAUUAAUGGGUUCCGCCGUCCACGUAAAACUUUAAUCCCUUUUGAAAGAGAAACAAAAGCACGAUAAUGCGACUAGACAGCUUUAUUAAGCAAGCAACAACCAGUAUCAAAGUUUGCACGUUCUUUAUGAUACAAUCACAACCGUUACCAUUUGAUCUCGCCUUGCCCUUGCGGCAAUUAGAACUAAAACACCUGGCAUUAAAGAUACAGAAUUCUAAAAUAAGCAUGUUUCUAUUUUCUACGUAGACGAAGAAGUUGCAAAUUUAUUCCAUAUAUAAUUUUAUAGAAGCAACACACAGACAUCUGGUUUCUCAAUCCCAGUGACAAACUCCAGAUAAACAAAACAAAAAACAGACAAUUCCAGUGACAAACUCCAGAAAAACAAAACAAAAAACACACAAAAGACUACCACCCUCCAAUCAUCAAUCAAUCAUCGAUUGGGAUAGUGUUGAUAUCAGUAAUUUCUCCUUCCUUGAAUUUUGGAAUAACAACUUGCAUGACACCAUUUUCCAUUAAAGCUUUUAUUCCAUAGACCUUGUAGAGCUUAUUUUGAAGUAAAACAGAAAAUACGCAAACUUUUCUCUUCUUCUGUUCCUUAUCAGUAUAACCAGGCACAACAACAUUUGGAACCCAUGCCCCUAUAGUGAGCGUAUCUUCGGCUAGAAACACCUCGAAAUCUUCCUUCCCCAUCUUUAACUCUGGAAUCUCUAAACUUAUAAGUACAGAGUCCUUGGUUUCGAUCACAUCAGUUUUGAUUAUUUCUUCCACCCAUCCAACAGAUUUGGAGAAACUUGUACUUAUAACACAUUUAACAUCAUCUACAUAAUCAUAAAAACAAACAAAAGUACCAAUCAAAUCAUAAUAAAUCUUACAAAAAAAAAACCUAUUUUUAAUUUAUAAUCACAAUAGAAAGAUAAAGAAAAAGUAGAUAAAAAUGUUUAAAAUACCUGGAACAUCUUUAAAUGAAGUUCCCUUCUUCCCUAUAGCAGCUUGAAUGGUAUUAGAAUGGUCAACGACUAAAGAUAACCCACCUAGUUUUUUGUUCAGAAAAAAAAGCUUAUCAACCUGUUUAGAUGAAGUACGAAUAAGGAAGGAUUUGAAAACAACAAACCCUAAAUGUUUUCUCACAAGAGAGGAAGACUCCAUUAUCAGAUAUUCAAAGGUUUAUGAAAAAUGGCUUUGAAAUGAUUAAGAAAAAAAAGAAAAAGUAGUAAGUAAAAGUGGAGAAAUGGAAUGGGUUUAUAAAAGCAUAGUAGAAUGUUCUAGUAGAUUGAUAUUAGAUAAGAUAAAAAAGGUUUUAGGGUUUUAGCUAGUUUGAGAAUGGGUGGGGUGAAAGCUAGUGAAGAGAGCAGAGUGACUUCACUGGUUAUUAACGCGCUAAUUCACCUCUUAAACAAUAUGAUUAUCCCACAUAUCUUCCACGUAUACUCAGGAACUAGUCCUUAGGCCCGUGCAAUGCACGGGCAUAUCUGAUUGUUUUAAAGUUUUUUUUGGGGGGGUUUUAUAUUGCUUUUGGUUUGUAACUUGUAAUAUUUUGUUUAGCCCGUUUCAAAAGUCUAUGAUCUGGUAUGAUUUCAUUUAGAAUUAUUAUAAAUCUUUGAGUAAUGAAAUUAAAUGAUUAUUAUAUAUACAUGAAAAUUAAACCCAAAACAUUUGAAGAUAUCCAGGAGAAUGGGAUUUUGCAGUACUCUCAAUUCUCAAAGUCUCAAUUAGAAUUUAGUCUGGCUCGGUUGUUGAGGCUUCAUCACUUUGGGAAACAAUCUUUUCACAGUAGUCCAUUAGCAGUCGAGCGUCUCUUAAUUGGCUUGUAACAGUUAACAUCAUGAAAAUUCGAAAUCUUUAACAAACUAUUAUGAUGAUAAAGAUGACUUACUUGUAAUGUGACGGAGAGAUCCCGUUAGGCCUGUAGUUAAGCAUUUCCGGAAGGCAACCAUACAAUCCAUGUCUGUGUGAAUCUUGCGACAUUUUUUGAUAUAGUCCCAUCUGCAACACAUUUACGUACAUUAGAUCACAAAUUAAGGGAAACUCAAAUUUCAUGAAAUUGCAGUAAAUAAGUCUUACUGCUACUUGGGUCCCUUUUCGUAUCCCCACCAUUGAAAUGUAUUGAAGAUUAUAUCAUCAUCUUUAUUGGAGUUUAUUUUCUAUUUUCAUUUACUUUUUGUCAAUGCCUAAUAAGUGCAAGGAAAAGAAAUAGAUUACUGGUUCUCCAUAUUCCUGCAAAAUAUACUUUUUGUCAAAUCUAGAAUGUAAUUGAAAAUGACCAUCACAAACAUGUUUGACGUGUGUCCACAAUAAUAUCAUAUUAAUAUUAUUAAUGAUCUUAUUAAUAAACUUGCAUAGCUGCCCAUUUGACUUAGAAUACUGGUGAGUUUUGAUUUCUGUGUCGUCGAGAGAUCUUCAGCAAACAUCAUAUAUACAUGGAUCAAAUAUAAGCAUAUAAGCAGACAUAGACUUUGAGUGAAGAGGAAGAUGGAGAAGUUGUAUAAACGUAAUAAAUCAUCUGGUGAUUUCAAUGUAAAUCUUGGUGAGUUUUGAAUUUCUCUUCGAUUAAGUUAUCAAUUUCAGCUUAAUUGAAGAGAUACAGUAAAACCUCGAUAAGAUAAUACCCGAUAAAUUAAUUAUCUCCUUUAAAUAAUAUUUUUAGCUGGUCCCAACUUGAGCAUAUGUUAAUAAAUUAAUAUUUCGCUAAAUUUAUUAGAUAAUACAUUUUAGAAAAAUCCUUGAAUGCCCAACUAAUAUAUAAAUUAAUAUUUUUUCGAUAUACAAAUAUAUUUUAUAUUUUUUUUUUAUAAUAAAAGUCAAUUUUUGCUUGUUUUUUCUCAAGAUUGAUUUUGGUUUGAACCUCGUCUCUGAAUUUUUGUAGUGUGAUAAGUUGAUCUGGUGUUGUAGUUUGAAUUGCAAGAAGAAAUUAUUCCAAUAUCAUUAUCGAUUUUAGUGUUUCUUUUUGUGGAACGGGUUUUAGAAUAAAACGAUUGUCCAGUUUCAUCAUGUUAGCCCCCCCACCCCCCUUAAAAAAAAGAAAGAUAUACAUAAAAAUAUACUGUUAAUUAUGUAAAUUUACAAUUUAUUAAUUAAUAGAUGAAUUGAUAUCUCAUUUAAUUAAUAAUUUUCUCUACUUCCAAGGCUAUUAAUUUAUCGAGGUUUUACUGUAUUUUUUGUACGGGCUGGACUUGAUUCUCAAACUCAAUCAAAAUUCUCUUCAAUUAAGCUAUUAAUUUCAAUCUAAUUGAAGAGAUGUUUUUUUAAGGGUAUUUUCAGCUUUAAUAGAGUAUAAUAGAUGGAAAAGUUGUACAAAUGUAGUAAAUCAUCUGGUGAUUUCAAUGUAAAUCACUACUUUCAACAGAUAAUUAUUUAGCUACUUAUACAAAAAAGAUUACUGGUAAACUUAUUGAAGUUAAAAUUGUUGAAUUGAAAGAAAUUCGAGUUAGAGCAUUUUAUCAAUGGUAGUCAAUUACUGGUAUUAGAUUUAGUGGUGAUAAUGUGGUUUACUGCUUAUAAAGAAUUCGAGUUAGGGUUACUUAUGAAGGUUGUUGUAUUUAAUAUGUGAAAUAUUGACCCAUUUUUAUUUAUUUUGUGUAGUUACAAAAAUACCCAAAAUUGAAUGAAUUUCUCUUCAAUUAAUUUAUCAAUUUCAGCAUAAUUGAGAAGAUAUAGUAAAACCUCGAUAAGAUAAUACCCGAUAAAUUAAUUAUCUCCUUUAAAUAAUAUUUUUGGUUGGUCCCAACUUGGGCAUAUGUUGAUAAAUUAAUAUUUCGGUAAAUUUAUUAGAUAAUUAAUACAUUUUAGAAAAAUCCUUGAAGGCCCAACUAAUAUAUAAAUUAAUAUUGUUUUGAUAUACAAAUAUAUUUUAUAUUUUUUUUAUAAUGAAAGUCAAUUAUUGUUUUUUUUUUUCUCAAAAUUGAUUUUGGUUUGAACCUCGUCUCUAAAUUUUUGUAGUGUGAUGAGUUGAUCUGGUGUUGUAUUUUGUAUUGCAAGAAGAAAUUAUUCCAAUAUCAUUAUCGAUUUUAGUGUUUCUUUUCGUGGAACCGGUUCUAGAAUAAAAUAAUUAUCCAGCUUCAUCAUGUUAGCCCCCUAAAAAGAAAGACAUACAUGAAAAUAUAUUGUUUAUGUAAAUUAAUAGUUUAUUAAUUAAUCGAUGAAUUAAUAUCUCGUUUAAUUAAUAAUUUUCUCUAGUCUCAAGGCUAUUAAUUUAUCGAAGUUUUACUGUAUUUUAAUUAUGCUUGUGAUUUGGUCCAACUGGGUACGGGCUGGACUUGAUUAUACUUGGGAUUGGGUAUUCUUUUAAUUUUUUUUAUUUGGCUUAAUUAUUCCCAUGGUCUAAUUGGGCUUAAUUAUAUCUGUAAUGGUGGUCCACUUUUGCCUAAUUACAAAUAUACCCAAACUUAAUCAAAAUUCUCUUCAAUUAGGCUAUCAAUUUCAGUCUUAUUGAUAGCCUAAUUGAAGAGAUAUUUUCUUAGGGGUAUUUUCUGCUUUAAUAUAGUAUAAUAGAUAAUAGAUUUCUACAUGGUUUCAGAGGUAAAUCAGGUUAUAUACUUGGGGGGCGGGGCUCAACUAAAGCCCAAUGCUCGUUGGUCAACUGUGGACUUAAUGUAAGGGCCUGAAGUAAAUUUUGUGUAGGCCUUAACAUGAUUCAUACUCUGUGCCUCUGUGGUCAUUAUAUAUGAAGGUUUGUGGAAUUGUGGUGCUUAAUUAACUUGAGUAUAGUAUAGAUUCUUGGUCAUUUCAAAUCCUUCUUAAAAUUAAAUAAACUUAUUACUGUAUGUAGUAUGUCCAUCAUAAGGCGACUGCUCUUGCUUUAGUUAAGCACCCUGUAGUAAAUUCCAGCUGUAGAGAUGGUGAUAGCAUUAUAUACAACAAUAGCAUCAACAUUGCAGUUGCUGCACGCUAUUGAUGGUGGAUUGAUUACUCCAGUUCUUCAGGAUGCCGAUAAGGUUUUUGUUAUCUCUAAUCUAGCUUCAUGUAUUAAUUGUUGUAGCUGAUAUAUAGUCUAUGUUUGCGACAAAAGACAAGUUUUGUAUCCGCUUACUGGAGUUCCUUUAAAUGAUUGUAGGUCGAUAUAUACACACUGUCAAGAAAAUGGAAAGAGCUAGUUGAGAAGGCUAGGGCCAAACAAUUGCAACCCCAUGAAUACACAACAGGUACCGUUUUCUAUAGUCUAUACAUUUAUCUUGCUUGAAUUCUGAAUUGUGUUAUAUAUUAUGUCUAUAUUUACGAUAAAUACUAUCUGAGCAAAUUCAUUCAUUUCCUUAGCUGUGAUAAAACAUAUAUAUUGAAAUAUUCAUAUGCCUAUAUUCUGCACCCCCAAACUCAGAUUCCUGGAUCCGUCCCCGAGCUAUACAUGUAUUCAUUAUAUACUGAGCUAUACAUUAGGAUAAGUAAGGAAAUCUUAGGAUAUGCUAUACAUUUUAUAGCGAGCUAUAUAUAUUCUUCAUGGGUUUUUUUCUUGCAUGAAGCUAGCUGGGGUUUGGCAGACCCCUACCAGGUUUUAUCAAUAAAAGAAAUGUUACAAUCUAAAAUACGUGGUGCCUGCUGCAUCCUGGUCUAUAAAAGUUUCUAGUUGCUCAGGUAAAGGGCCAAAAGAUGUACAUAAACCUUCAGUAGUGCUGACUGCUGAGUCCUGCAAUAUAUAUAAUCUGCCACCCUAGUAGUCUCCUGUAGCAAUGCUUGACCUCUUUCAGUUCAAACCUUUGCAUAAGCUCCUUGUCCAACCUUGCCAAUCUCCUUGAUCUCCAUGACACCCUGGUCCUUCCAUUGACGAUGUCAACUGCCUGUUUCGAAUCAGAUUGUAACAUUACUCUGUUGUAGCCUUGCUCCAGUGCAUUCUGCAUCCCAGUUGUGAUGGCUUCCAGUUCGAUCUAUUGUUGUAAUAGCGAUCCCUUUAGUGCUUCUGCAGUAUAUAUGCUAGUUGCGCGCACUCUACCCUCAUGACUCCUGAAUACACCUUCAUAGCUGGCUACCUCAUCUUUCAAAGCUCCAUCAGCAUAAAGACACAUUACUCCCUGUGGUGGGGGUUCCCAUUUAUGCCUUGUGUUUCUUGUGCAUUUUUGCGGAACUCGGGAACUGUCAUAUGUAUAUGAAAGUGUGAGACCAAACUCACGUCUUUUCAAAACAUUUUGCGUAUAACUUCCAAAGAAACCAAAGUGAUAGACUUGUUCCACUGGUCCAGAUAGCUUAACAUAGCUGCCAUGAUGUAUCAAGCAUGAAACUUUUGAAUAGGCCCGCCAUGACCUUUUCCUACAAAGUCUGAAUUGCAUUGCAUUAUUUUUUUUUGGUGUAAUGCAUAUGUUUACCUACUAUAUCAGGGGCUCCUACAAACAUGCUGUGUCUGUAUUGCACUGUGAAAAUUCUUUGGUUGCUGUUUUAUCAUUUGAUUCACCCUGCUAUAGGUUAUGUUGUUAGGGACGGAACUAGGGGGGUGCGUGUGGGAACAGUCCCCCCCCCCCCCCAAAUUUUUCUAUAAUAUACUACUAAACAGUUAUGCUUUUGGUAAAAAUAUGAGCACUUGCCCCCAUAAAUUUUUUCGCAUAUAGAUUAUAUAUAGUUUCGCCACCCCAGACUCAGAUUCUUGGCCCCGUCCUUGUCUUGUUCAUGUCUUGUUCACAUUGGCAAAACCAACUUGAGCAUUGCCACCACUGAUAUUAAUAUAAAGAGAUAAGGAGAAGUCCAAAUAGCAUUACUAAUACAAGUUCAAACAGUGAGAAAUGUAGUUAGAUAUCACAUUACAAGCUUAAACAUUAUCUUGUUCUCCAGAAGAACAAGGGACAAAACUUACGUAAAACAUCAAUACUGUAUUAACCAUAUUUGUGAGGUUGGUCAAUACAUUAAUGAAAGAUGAUGUAGGGGUACUACAUACUCCGACCAAUCAAAAGCAGCCACGUGGCACAGUCAUCCAUCCGUCAGGUCGCCACGAUCUCUACCCACUCGCAGCUCGACUAAAGCGACCAGACUACACAACGACCAGCGACCUGCUAUUCACACGUGCUCCUAUUCAAUGCACAGAAUAUUCUCAUCAGUUACAUAANNNNNNNNNNNNNNNNNNNNNNNNNNNNNNNNNNNNNNNNNNNNNNNNNNNNNNNNNNNNNNNNNNNNNNNNNNNNNNNNNNNNNNNNNNNNNNNNNNNNUAACCGGGGUCGGGCGGAUUGCUUCAUCUUUGACACAAUGUACAAAAUCCAUGAGGGCAAACUAUUCAGGAAAUCAGCAACUGGAUUGUUAUUACGAUGCUUGAUCCCAAAGCAAGGGCAGAUGAUAUUUCAAGAAAUCCAUGAAGGUGAAUGUGGAAACCAUUCCGGUGGGCGUACCUUAGCCCAUAAAGCAAUCUCUCAAGGAUACUUCUGGCCAAGAAUGAAGGAAGAUGCAAAGAAAUUUGUUUUGAAGUGCAAAGAAUGCCAACGAUUUGCUGAUAAGCAACACCAACAUCCAAAUGAUCUCAUCAACAUCACUGCACCAUGGCCAUUCCACAUGUGGGGGCUUGAUAUCAUGGGUCCCCUCAUCAAGGAAAAGAAGUCUGAGAAGAGGUUCGUUCUAGUAGCCGUCGACUAUUUCACUAAAUGGGUGGAAGCUGUUGCCUUAACCAAUGUCACACAGACAGAUGUCCAAAGAUUUAUGUGGGAAAAUAUCAUCACAAGGUUCGGGCUACCUAAACGGGUAGUCACAGACAAUGGCACUCAGUUCGUUGGCAAGAAUAUCAAAAAAUUCUACGACCUGUGGAAAAUCGAGCAUUCAAGGUCAACUCCUAGGUACCCGCAAGCAAACGGCCAGGUCGAAGCUGCAAAUCGACAGAUUCUAACCAAUUUGAAGAAGAAGCUCGAAGACCAGCAUGAUCAAUGGCCACAACAGUUGGAGAACAUCCUAUGGGCUUAUAGGACAACUCCUCGCACAUCCACAGGGAUGUCACCAUUCAGUCUUUGCUAUGGAGUUGAGGCCGUUAUUCCCACUAAAUUAACAUUUGGAACGACCAAGUCUCUUUUGGUCGACACGGAGCUCAACAAUCAGAUCUGGUCGUUUGGAGUCGACCUCCUCGAAGAGCGACGUAACCACGCCACUAUAAAGCUCGAGCAAUACCAACAGAGACUCAAGCGAGCUUAUAACAAAGGCGUGCGACCAAGAACUUUCCAGCCAGGGGAACUAGUCUGAAGAAGAAUGUUCAGUAACAAAAGAAAAGACACUAUCGGCAAGCUCAACGCCAAUUGGGAAGGUCCUUACAUUAUCACAAAAGUCCAGAGCAACGGUUCUUAUCGUCUUCAGACACCAGAAGGGGAGAUCGUUAAGAACCCGUGGAACGCUUUUCAUUUAAAGAAAUUUUAUCAGUGAAAUGUAAGCAUCCAUUCAUUGCAUUUCAAUCUAUAAAUUCAAUUUUGCCUUCAUCUCUGCUCAAACAUGAAUGGCUACUAAAGGUCCAAUCCCUCGACUUACAAAUUAUCAAUAAUCUAGUCCCUUUGAUAAUUUAAAAGUUUGUUAAGUUAAAUCACUAGCAACUUAACUUGGUGCAUUGGUCUUUCUCUUCCCACGACCCAAGCACAAUUAUGUUAAAUGCGACCUCAACCCACAAUCAGGUCGAGCAAAUGUCACAUAUUGUUUGCAAGUCCAUUCAAGCAGACAAAACGACAUAAGCAACAAUACAAGGUAAAUCGUUGAAUUAACUUUUUACUUUAUGAGAUUUUAACAAUUACAGGUACAACCAAAAUAGAAUCAAGGCAUACAAGAGGAACUGUUUCAGUACGUCCUGCUUGCAGCCAUUCAUCUCGUCUACCUGCCUUCUGAACGAGCUACCAGGACUUCCUGGAAACUAGCUGGUCAAAAGGAAUCCAUACAAAAGUCAUCAAAGUAAAAACUGAUUACUGAUGGCAAGUACAAAAGACAAGGAGUUCUCUACUCAAGCUCUUAAAAUUACAAGGGGGCUCUCAACAAUAAGCUCUCGAAGACAUACUGCAAGAACAAGGAGUGCAAGAAGCAAACUUUGCACAAGGUUACCCAAUAUAAGAAAGGGAAACCAAGGUUACCCAAUACAAGAAAGGGAAACCAAGGUUACCCAAUACGUAGAAGGGAAACGAAGGCCAGCUCACUGCUGCACAGACUGGUCGCCUGAAGCAUCAACUUCAAUAAGGGCUCCAGCGACCUGGUCACUAGGGCCCAUCGAGGUGUCCUGAGCUGGCGCCGAAGUCUCUUCAACACCACCUCGCGUCUCCUCUCCUUCGGGCGACCCCGUCAUAGCUUUGACCAGUUGCUCGCAGUAGGCCUUCCACGCUGCUUCAUUCUCCUGACAAACCCUCUGCUAGUACUCAACAGAAGAUUGGGAAGCAGCUUCACGUUCCCUCAACUGCUCCUUCAGAGCUGCGACCUGGGCAUCCCUGUCCUUAACCUUACAUUCAGCAACGACAGCAAUGUUCCUCGCCUGCUCGAGCUUCUCAUUGAGAGCCUUCAACUCAAUUUCAGCUUGAGCACCAAUCUCAGCAACCAGACGCACCUCCUGGAAGCUGGCAUUGAGCUGCAACCACAAAACGAAAUUUAGCCCAAAUAUCAAAGCAUAACCAAAACAAAUACGACUUACGAUCACACUCACCAAAGAAAGUGCCCCGUUUAUCUUUGAGCAGGUCACCAACAAAGGCUGCGACUUCACCACUCGGGCAUCAGCAUCCAGGACGAUACCCUCAUUCACAGCCCGGGCAACACAAGGGUCAUCAAUAGCACUGUCGUUCUCGUACACGACAUGCUUCUCUCCUUGCCCGUCCAAAUAAUCGAACGGCCCAGGGCGGAAUUCAGACAAAAUACCUUUGCCUUUCUGCGAAGGCCGAGCAGCAGUCUUCCUGGACAGCACAGACAUUCCAGGAGACGUCACAACCAUUGAAGAAACAGGAGUUGGCAUAGCUGGGAACUCCAUCAGCUUAAGGUUCCCUGAGAAGGACCUCUUCUUCCCAGCCAAUGCACCCACCUUAGGAAGUGAGGGGGGUGGACCUGAGACUGGAGGGCUCGCCACGACUCCAGCCUGGCGAGAGCUACCUACAGCCCGCUCCCUCUCCGCAGGCAGCUCCCUCUCCACAGAUCGUUCCUGCCCCACAGGUCGAUCCUUGUCAACAGGUCGUUCCUUCUCCGACCUCCGAGGAGCACCAACAGAACGCUCUCUUUCAACUUGCUUCGAGCUACCACUUGCUCGUUCACUAUCACCAGCUCGCGAGCUGCUACCAGUUCGCCCACCACUUGCUUUGUGCACAGAAGACAUGAAUGCUUUCUUCAAAGCUUUCCUCCUCUUGAGCUCGUCCCACACAGUUUUUGGACCACCUUUAGGAAUGAAAUGCUCCUUUAGGUGAGGCAGAAACGAGAUCUUCCGCUCGUCGGUCAACUUACCAAAGCAGUUCAGAGCAGACUGCAGAUCGUUUUUUCUGAUCAGAUGAUCGUCACGGAUCGCUGCAACAAAAAAUACAAAGACAUCAAGUUCAAAAACUGGAAGACGAACCAACAAUCCUAGAACUACAGACAACUAACUUACGAGCGUCAUUCCUAAUCGUAUGACGCAACUGGAUAUCCCCUUCAACAAUCGGCCCAGUGAACAGCAUGGGAUCUUUCCACCAUGGCUCGCUACUCACUGGAUAAAUCAAAGGCAAACGUUCUGGCCUAACCUGCAUGUUAUAGCCAGAGAGUUCAACCUUCGAGGAGCGUUUGAAGCAAAAGUGGUUCAAUACAUCUUCCACUGUAAUGUUCCACCUAUGCAACUUGUUGAGGUCGUCAAUUACCCUCAUGUUCCGCCAGAAAUUACCAUUCAUCUGACAGGGGGCUCGCCUAAUGGCAUUCAACAGGUUGACCACCAAUUCAGACAACGGCAACCUCAGCCCAGCACGAAAUUGGUUCAAAGUCAAUACAGUAGAUGAAGGAUUAUUAGGUCGAUAGUCAGGAGAAAGUAAGCGGUCCCCAAGAAACCUUAUCUCUAAAUGCCUAAUCGACCUAAACUGAUAAUGCCUCCUAACAGCAAAAUGCCUAUGUACAUAAUUCAUAUUCACAACUCUACACAUUCUACCAUUGUCAUCCUCAACCAUCUCAUCAUCAGAAGAAUCUGGACCAUGAGAACCACUACUCUGGGGGCUAUCUACAUUCUCAUCGGGAACGGGAGACGGAGGGUCAGAAUGAGUACUCUCAGACUCAUACUCCUCAAGUCUAUCAUCACUCAAGUGAUCAUUUUGCGAAUCACUACCCUCAGACAUUACUCUCAAACGAUACACAAGACAACAGAAGAUGAAAAAGAAAGAAACUAAACAAUCAAAGAAAAGAGAAGAGAACAAACCUCACGAGCUCUCAAACUUCUUCAGAUCGCAAGGCAAAAGCGGCAGCAAUUCAAAUAAAGGCAAGAUAAGUAAACCCUUAUCAACGUAACUACAGUUUAUAUACUGUAGCUCAAGCAUUUCCAGCCAUCGAUUCAAAACAAACGAACGGCUGAGAUCGACCAAAGGAUCCAUAUGCAGUACAGUCAUUCUCCACUCACAAAACGGUUCGCAUCCACCGUUGGAUAAAUCCACGUGCAAGACAGAUAGCAAAUCAGGCAAUACGUGCGUCAGUUGCCAUAACCACACAUCUAACUGCUCGAGGAAACUCCUCCACUUCCCCGUAACAGCGCCAUGAUUACCACAGACAGCGCUGCAUGACUGCCACGUCAGCAACUUCAAAAAAACAAACUACAAAUCAGCAUCGAUAAGAGUAAUUAGUCUUUUUAGCCCGACUUCCACAGUCGACCUAAAAAGAGGGGGCUUAUGUAGGGGUACUACAUACUCCGACCAAUCAAAAGCAGCCACGUGGCACAGUCAUCCAUCCGUCAGGUCGCCACGAUCUCUACCCACUCGCAGCUCGACUAAAGCGACCAGACUACACAACGACCAGCGACCUGCUAUUCACACGUGCUCCUAUUCAAUGCACAGAAUAUUCUCAUCAGUUACAUAAUUAAUUCACAGGGAUGAUCCUCGCGCGUUACACAUUUAAUCCUCAUUAUGAUGGCGGAGAAUCUGCAAGAUCCACGAUCCACGCCCUUCUAUCUUCUAUAUAAACAGAACUACGAUGGCUUGAUCUCUAAGUUCAAUUCCCCCGAGCUAGAGUACGUAGGCAAUCUCGAUCUCAACGAGGUGCAGCCACCCCGAUCUCAAACAUCCCUAUUUGGUCAAGUCUCCAUAACGACCUGACCCUGUUGAUGCAUUAAUCUAGAAAUAGGUUAAUACAGAUGAUGAUGUGUAUGAUAUGAACAAUAAUAAAGUAGAGACGUGAACACCAUUGUAUACGUGGUUCGGCAAUUGUGCCUACAUCCACGGAGAGAGAGAAUGAACUUUAUUAUAGUAGUGGUGAUACAAAAUGGGAGCUCGAUAAUGGAGAGAGCUCAAGAGAGAGAUGCGACCUGAGAGGUGAGGUCUCACCAUGAGAGAUUAGGGAGGUCGUUGAUAUUGAGACCUCACCAUGAGAUAGUGGUGAGACCAUUAGACUAUCAGACCAUGUCUGGAAUGAGUGAUUUGCCUUCAUAUUUAUAGGCUACAAUGUAACUCCAUUCCUAACAUUUAUUGAGGUAAUGAUGAGAGAAUAUCUUUGUAGUAAUUGGCUUUAACUUUGUAACUUGUGCCAUCAAGAGAGAGUCCAUUAGAUGAUGACAUGUGGCACCAUGAUGGACGGUAGAGAUGGUGCCACAUGUAUGUUGUAUAUAGUACCCCUACAUAAGCCCCCUCUUUUUAGGUUGAACGGAGUUCGGGCUGAAAAGAAGUAAUCGAACCGAUCUAGCCCCCAAGAUGAAUGAAAUAUGGGGUUCCUUAACGAAGUCGAUCCGCCCCAAAUUUUGAUGAGCUUGAUCAUUGAGAUUUGCAGGACGCGAUGAAGGUCCCUUGUGGUAAUGGCAACUCGAUCAUAACUUUGUGUGUAGCGAGCUAGUUAGUUCCAGGGAGACCUGGUAGCUCGUUCAGAAGGCAUGUAGACGAGAUGGACAGCUGCAAGCAGGUCGUACUGAAGUGGGUUUUCUUGCAUACAUGGGUGGUUGUCUUUUUGUGGUCGAGUUGCAUAGACCUGAUACUUGUUGAUAAUGUUAGCAUGUGAAAUAUUAUAAAAUUUAGUAAGAGACUUACACUGAACUGUAUGUCUUCCUUAUGACUUUUGUAUGUACUAUCUUUGUAGCUCGUUUGAGAAAGAGCAUUGGUUGACCAAGUGUUUUGAGAGUUACUUGGAACCUUUUGGUGCCCGAUCUAGUGAAUGGUCGCAGCGUGGAGACCUGUUUGACAAUUCUCGGGCAUGUGGCCUUUGUGGGUCUGCAUUGCGUUGAGAGUGAAUGCGUUCGACCAGGCGUGUGGCUAGAGAAUUGUGUUUGAGGUUGUCCCGCAUACGAGUGACUCACUAGUCAAUGAGGGUGGCCGUAUUGUAUAUCAAGCAUUUCACUUGUAAAGAGUUCAGUGAAAGCAAUGUGGCACAUUUGUGCAAAAUAGCUCAUGGGGAGUGAGGUCGUGUUCAUGUGACCUGCACAUAGAGAGAGCUACAAAAAAUAUCAUUAAAAGCUAAUUGUGCUAAUAAGUUAAUUUGAUUAGAUAAAGUGAGAAUAGCCCCCUGUAUGGCAUAAAUAUUGUUGGGGUCGUUGAAGGACCUGGGGAGGUCGCGAUGAGGCCUGAGAGGUCGUUGGCUUAGAGACCUGAAUGAAGUGAGGUCGCGUCGAGACCUGAGAGGUCGUUGGCUUAGAGACCUGAGAGGUCGUUGGCUUAGAGACCUGAAUGAAGUGAGGUCGCGUCGAGACCUGAGAGGUCGUUGGCUUAGAGACCUGAAUGAAGUGAGGAGGUCUCUUCAAGACCUGAACAUGUGGCCAUUAAGAAUGUAACUGAUAUAUAUAAUCAUGAUCGAGUUAUGAGAAUAUAUGUUACAUAGAUGCAUAUAAUAAUCAAUUUGUGUGAGACAAAAUAGAAUGAACAGUAAGAUCAUAGUGAAUUGAUACUUAUCUUGCUUUCGUCGAGUUUCACAUACAGUAAUGGUAACCGAAAUAAAACCCCCUAUUUGGAAAUUGUGAUUGCCAUUCUGCCAAAUAGAAUUUCUUGAACUUGAAAUCACCACUUUGAGAGCCUUACAACAAUGGUGUAAUGGUGGGGUUGGUGAUUUCUGAAUUUGGGGUGGGAGGGUUUGGGCUUUUUCGAUUAAAUCGAAAUCCCCUCAAUCGGCGCCAAAUGUAUUAACCAUAUUUGUGAGGUUGGUCAAUACAUUAAUGAAAGAUGAUGAUGUGUAUGAUAUGAACAAUAAUAAAGUAGAGACGUGAACACCAUUGUAUACGUGGUUCGGCAAUUGUGCCUACAUCCACGGAGAGAGAGAAUGAACUUUAUUAUAGUAGUGGUGAUACAAAAUGGGAGCUCGAUAAUGGAGAGAGCUCAAGAGAGAGAUGCGACCUGAGAGGUGAGGUCUCACCAUGAGAGAUUAGGGAGGUCGUUGAUAUUGAGACCUCACCAUGAGAUAGUGGUGAGACCAUUAGACUAUCAGACCAUGUCUGGAAUGAGUGAUUUGCCUUCAUAUUUAUAGGCUACAAUGUAACUCCAUUCCUAACAUUUAUUGAGGUAAUGAUGAGAGAAUAUCUUUGUAGUAAUUGGCUUUAACUUUGUAACUUGUGCCAUCAAGAGAGAGUCCAUUAGAUGAUGACAUGUGGCACCAUGAUGGACGGUAGAGAUGGUGCCACAUGUAUGUUGUAUAUAGUACCCCUACAAAUACCUUUGAGAGAGAAACAAAAAGCAUGAUGAUGAGACCAGGCAGUUUUAUUAAGCCAGCAACAACCAAAAAUUUUUAUAUGUUGUUCGUUUUUGGUGUGAGAUUUGUAGGACUAAUAAAAUACUGUCUUGUAUCCCUAAUGGGAUUUGAAUAAAUAUUUUUGGUAAUUUUAUAGAUACAUGGUAAUUUUUCAUUGGUCCCACAAAUCCACACCAAAAAAUCACAAUAUAUAAAAUAUUCGAACCCACGACUUCUCCACUUUGUAAGAGGGGUGCUACCAUUGAGCCACAGCCUCAUUCGCUAAAAAUGUUGUGGUAAGCCUGUUUUUAAUGAGACCAGUAACUCGGUAAUGCUAGCGGAAUUCGAACCCAGACCUCUGGUAUCAUCACCCAAAGGUUUUACCUGAGCCCAACUGACACCUGCACUUUGAACAAAUAUCAAAGCUUGCACGUUCUUUCUGAUAGAAUCACAAAACCAUUACGAUACCGAUCUCGCCUUGCGGCAAUUAAACUAAAACACCUAGCAUUAAAGAUAAAAAUAAAAUACAAGAAAAGACAUGUUUCUACUUAGACGAAGAAAUUAUAAUUUUAAAUUAUUAUUAUUUCUUUUCUUGGUGAAAAGGAUUUUCUCUUAUAAUUUAACACUAGCAAACAAGAAAAGAAAAGCAUUUUGUACCCAAAUCAUUUGUAAAUGCAUCAGUUGAGUUGCAGAUCAAACGAAAUGCCAGGACAUAAUGAAGUCGGGUAUGAACUUGAAUUAAUUAUCUUACUAAUAAUUAGAGUUGAAUCGUCUAAAUAACAAAUACUCCAUCUGUCCUGUUUUGAUUGGUUGAGUUGGUUUUUUCACACAAAUGAAGAAAACCUAAUUAAUACUAGUAAAAAUAAUUAAUUUUAUCUGUGUUUUUCCUAAUUGACCCUUUAAUUUUAUUUCAUUUUUUUUAUACAUUAAAUUUUAUUUAAGAUUUAAAACAAAUAAAUAAGGGUAAAACAAUAAUCUCAUAUAUUUAGUCUCCUUGAAAGUAACAAACUAGACUAUAAUUUGGGACAAAUUUUUUAGCCAAACCAGCCUAUCAAAACGGGACAUAGUGAGUAGAUAGAAUUUGAACUUUUGAGCAUUGAAAUCACUAUUAUGUAUUUUAGGAACAUUGCUAGAAAUCAAAUCUAUACUAUAUAUAUAGUUAGAGAACAUGUCUAUGAGAAAAUUUUCUCCAUUCUAAUUGAUAGCCUAUUUGAAGAGAAUGGAGUUUAAUUAUAAUUUUAUGAAGGUCAAAUUUGUAUUUUUACAAUGGUCUUAAGUGGACCACAACUUAAAGAGACAUAAAUGGGCUGCAAUCUCAAGGACCAUGCAUUGCAUGGGCUAAAUGGCUGGUUUAAAUUUUAAACAAAAGUAGUACCCAUAAUUUUAUAGAAACAACAAACAAAAAUCUGGUUUCUCGAUCCUAGUGACAAAACUCUAGGAAAACAAAACAAACAAAGAAACCAUUUCCCAUUAAAUCUUUUAUUUUCGAUUAAAGUUUUUAUUUCAUAGAUCUUUUAUUUUUUUGGUUGGCAAGCGAGGUUGAGGGGACCCCUACCCCUUUUAAAUUACGUGUGAAAACUUAUAUCAACAAUCCGCUGUUGACGUGUUUCGAACCCACGACCUCUCCACUUUAUGAGAGGGGUGCUACCACUGAGCCACAUGCUCAUUUGCUUAUUUUAUAGACCUUGCAAAGCUCCUUUUGAAGUAAAACAGAAAAUACGCAAACCUUUAUCUUCUUAUUGUCAAGAUAACUAGGCACUACAACGUUUGGAACUCGUGCCCCUAUGGUAAGCGUAUCUCCAGCUAGAAACACCUCAAAAUCGUUCUUCCCUAGCUUUAGCUCUAGUAUCUCAAAACUUAUAAACACAAAGUCUUUAGUUUCGAUCACAUUAGUUUUGAUUUCUUCCACUCAUCCAACAAAUUGGAGAAACUUGUCUUUAGCACACAUUUAGCAUCAUCUACAUAACCAUCAAAACAAACAAAACAACAAUUAAAUCAAAAUAAAUCUCACAAAAAUAAAACCUAUUUUUUAUUUAUAAUCACAAUAAAAAAAUAAAGAAAAAGUAGAUAAAAACGUUAAAGUGCAUGGAACAACACCCACUUCAUUUUCGUUUUUAGACGAAGUUCCUUUCUUCAUCACAAUAGCUUGAAUGGUAUUAAAACGAUCAACAACCGAAGAUAACCCACCUAAUUUUUUGUUGAGAAAACAGAGCUUAUCAACAUGCUUGGAUGAAGUACGAAUAAGGAAAGGUUUGCAAACAACAUACCCUCUCACAAGAGAAGAAGGCUUUAUUACCAGAUAUUUAAAGGUUUAUGAAAAAUAAGUUUGAAUGGAUUGAGAUCAAAAGCAAGAGUAGUGAGUAAAAGUGGAUAAAUGGCGAAUGAGUCUGUGGCUCAAUGGUAGCACCCCUCUCACGAAGUGGAGGGGUUGUGGGUUCUUAACAUCUGAUUGUUGAUAUAAGUUUCCAGAUGUGAUUUAAAGGGGUAGGGGUCUCCUCAACCUCGUUUGCCAAUCAAGAAAAAAAAAAAAAAUGGAACGAGUUUUUUUUUUUUUUUUUUGAUAAGAUAAGAUAAGAUUUUAUUGAAAGCAGAGUAGAAGAUUCUAGUAGAUUGACUUUUUUUUUUGUCCUUGCUCACCCCAGAAUGGGUUUAUAAAAGUAGAGCAUGUGCCUCAGGAUUUCGUCCUUGUUCAUCCCGGAGUGUCGAGCACCAUACCACUCGCUAAUAUCAAUAUUGUCCCCCUUUAGUUACUGCGGAUAUCCAGCAGUAGAUGGUUUGGAUCAGGGUAAAGGCCUUGACAUUAGUAUGGUUAAGCUCUAUAUAUCAUAGUUCGAAAUAUCGGGGAUAUCCGCAGAUAUCCCACGAAUUAUGCCAAUAUUUGAGAAAUCGGAUACGCAAAUAUCUGCGAAUACUUGGUUUCCAAAUUGUUUUUUAGUGUCAAAAUCUCGGUAAAAUCCAUUUUUCCAGGAUUUGAAAUUUCACUUGAAAUCGGUAUUUUGAAGUAUGUUAUAUAGUAAUAGUACCAAUACAACCACGGGUUUCCCCCAAAAGGCCUUGACAUUAGUUGUAGUAUGGUUAAACUUUAUAUACUACUAAUACAACCACUUCCUAGACGAUGUGGGACUAACCUAACUCUUGGGUGUUACAUUGAAUUUUGUUGUUUAGUUUUCAUUAUUUUCAGUUUUAAUAUGUUGUAGCAAAACAGUCAUAACUUUGUGCUCGGAAUUGAGAUAUGUCUUUUGGGUUGGAAAGAAGACUCUCUCAACUUUCCAAUGUAUAUGGCAGGCUUUCUGGUUCGCAGUAGUUUGCUAGGAAAUUGCGUUUGAAGUUCUAACAAGAAAAAGUGCCUUUGGACAGUAAUUUUGACAGAUUUAUUUCCUCUGGACAUCCCAACAAGUUUGUUGGUAAAGUGUAUAUGAGCUUAUUUUGGGCCCAUGAUGUGGCAAACCUAAUUUUCUUUGUAAUGCACUAUAUAAAGGCAUGAUAAUGUAGGAAACCUUAAGAAGUUUAGAAGCUACAUUAAGCAAUAUAAUAGUCUAAGGGAGUUUCGAGAGAUUCAAAACUUGGAGAUUUGAAGCUUGGAGGCUUGGUGAAAACUUGGGAGCAAUCUAUAUGGGGGAUUUCUAGGUUUGUGAUUUUCUUGUAAAGGGUGUGAGAGUGAGUUGUGUGAGAUCUCAUCUUGUAAUCCUUUUAAUCUUUUAAUAAAGUUCUUUGUUUUGCCGGUGGUGGAUUAUUCCCGUGAGGGUUCCACCACAUAUAUCUUGUGCAUUGGUUUUGUUUUUCUUAUUAUAAUUACUUGUUUCUUCUAAUCUUGGGUUAUUCUGCACUGUGUUCAUUGGAUUAUUAAUUUAUUAUCAAUUUUCCCAACAAUUUUUUUCAUUUGUUUUCUUCGUACGUAUUUCUUAAGACAAAAGGAGUCUUUAUGUCUGCACCGCUUGCAAAGGUGACUGCUCUUGAUUUAGUUAAGUACUCUGUAGUAAAUUCCAGCUGUAGAGAUGGUAAUAGCAUUACAUAUUUACAUACCAUAGUUUAAAAAUUCGUUACAUUUUGCAAAAUUUCGAUGGUAUAUGCCAAUAUUUGAGAAUUCAGAAUCACGAAUAUCCACGAAAUUUCACUAAACUCGUCUUGCAAAGUGAUUUCCAAUGUCGGAGUCUCGGCAUAUGCCGUUAUUUUAGGAAUCGAAAUUUUGCUCGAAAUCAAAAUUUUAAACUAUGUUACAUGCAUACAACAAUAGCAUCAACACUGCAGUUGUUGUAGCUUGAUGGUGGAUUGAUUACUCCAGUUCUUCAGGAUGCCGAUAAGGUUUUUGUUAUCUCUAAUCUAGCUUCAUCUAUUGUUGAUUCACUAAAAACCCUAGUUGUUUUUUUUUUUUUAAUAAAAACCUACUUCAGCGCGGCCACCACUGAUAUUAAUCCUCAACCACAUAGUAGAACCCCUCUUAUUGAGGCUUUGUGGGAAGAAUAACAAAACUUCAAGGAGACAACUUUUUGAUCAUGAGUUUGUUGCAUGCAAAUAUUAACGUUUAUUAGUACUAGUAAGCAUAGUUUAAAAUUUCGAUUUCGGGCGAAAUUUCGUUUUUCAAAAUAAUGCCAUAUGCCGAGAUGCCGGCACUGGAAAUCACAUGUAAGCCGAGAUUCACAAAAUUUCGUGAUAAUGAAUUCUCAAAUACCGGCAUAUACCGUCGAAAUUUUACGAGAUGUGACGAAAUUUUAACUAUGCUAGGAAGGACUAUUAUAGUGUUGAGUGUUGACGGUGUUGGGAUUUCUCGAUGACAUUAUCACCAACAUUCCGUGUCUACUGUUCUACAGAUUCCAACAACAUCAUAUCUUGGCGAUCCAUCAGUUGAAGAAACUACUAGCCAACAACUCCAGCAAUACUAUAUUGACCAACUAGAUGAUUUCUGCAGGCAAAAUAAAGAGGAAUAAGCUGUGCAAGUGUUAGAGAACCUAGAGAAAACGGAUGUUCAUCUGGACUUCCAAAGAUUCUUUCAUUGAUGCAGGCAUGCGUGGACGUAUUCAGCACCUUUAACCAAAUUCUGGAGAUGUAUUCUGAGUGUGAUUCUAUGUGUGAUGCAUUGGAGGUAUGUGAGAGCAUGCCACAACGCAAUUUGAUGUCUUGGGAUACCAUGAUAGCGAGUUUCACAAAGAAUGGUCUUGGAGAGGAUGCCCUUGAUUUGUUUACUCAGUUCAAAGAGGCAGCAAAAUUGAAAGCUAACGGACAUAUAUGUUCAUUUGAGUCUUCCUCGUAUGUAGCGUCUUGUGUGAUGUUGACGAGGGAAUGCUGCAUUUGGAAUCCAUGAGGAAGCAAUUAUUGUAUCGUGAAUCACUUUUUAGGGAAUUAGCUCUAUUCUAUCAGUAUUAAUUUUUCUUUUAGCAGGUAAAUGGUGUUGUCCCAUCCAUGGAGCAUUAUGUGAGUGUAGUGAACAUGUUGGGAAGUUUAGGAUAUUUUGAUGAAGCCAUGGAAUCUAUUGAGAAGAUGCCAUUUAAACCGAGUAUAGGCUGGAGUCUGGGAAGCAUUGAUGAUCGACUCUUUGCAGGGCCAACGGGAACGUUAAGCUUAUAGAUCAUUGUGUUGACGUUGUCAAAUACUUAGAUACUUCUCGCCUAACUGAUGAACCAGUGAAAGCUUUUGCUAAAGACAGAUAGAAGCUUUGCCAUUGGCCAAAGUAUGUCUCCAAGGAUGGCGGAGAUACUGACUACCCUCAGAAGGACAAACUCAUUGCUUUCUCGAGGAGAAUCAUAUCACACAUGAAAGAUUUUGGUUAUGCCCCCAUACUCCCUUUGAACUUUGGCUACCCAUUGAAGAAGAAGAACAGGAGGAAUACCUGUACCUUCACUGUGAAAAGGUUCAUGCUGCUUUUGAGCUAAUAUAUGCACACUGCGCCUCGAGCUUUUUUAGAGCUGAUAGUAAAACAGGGUCGUGUUUGUGAGGACUGCCAUAAUGCAUCGAAGGUCCUGUCAAAUCUUGCUUGUAGAGAAUCAGAAUAGUAAUCACAUGGAACUGGCAAGGCCUUGGAUUCACCAUUUCAAGGAUGGCGUGUGUAUUUGCACGGAUUUUUGGUAGCUCACCUUUGACCACGACACUUUUAUGAAAUGCAGAGAGGAGGAGAGGGUUUUGGUGGAGAGGGGUGAAAUUAGAAGUAGGUCCAUCACUUAUAAUGUUCUGUUUUCUUGUUAUAACUUUUAUUUUUCUACUAUUUUUUGAGGGAUUAAAGCGCUCUUUCUUUGAAGCAGAGACCUAGGGCAUGGAAUUUGCAGGGGGUUCAAGUAUGGUUUCGAUCGAUAUAUGGUACCAAGGAUUUUAUCUACCUCCUCUACUGCCUUACGUUUGUUACAUCCAAUCUCCACCUCAAGUGUGAGUGACAGUAGGCAUAUUUAUUUGUUUUUUGGACAAGGUCUACUCUAUUUCUGGUUCUAAGUUCCUAACAGAUUCUUGCUAGUUAUCAACCAUUUUCUGGUACAUAUGGUGUCCACUUUUGGCCAAUGUAUUUCCUUUGAUUUUCUGAUACUUGCACUAACUUCAUGGCAGUUGCUUUGAUACCUGUACUUUGUCGUGCACUUGAAUACGUAGCCAAGUUCCUAAGACGCAACUUUGGCCGUGCAACCAUGUAUAGGUAAAAUUUUAACAAGCAAUCUUAUGCAGCUAAUGAAAGCUUUGUACGCCUUCGUAUUAUAUAUAUUUCAAGUGAUUUGUAUAAUUACCAGUCAUGGUUAGCCCAAUAGUACAUUGAUUUGUCGGAACAGUCAAGUUUGCAUGUAGAAAAAAUUAAAUAGAAAAUUAGUUGUCUUGUUUGUUUGUCACAGAUAACAAAGGAGAUUAUAUAUGUCUAUAACCAUUGACAUUACUAUUUAGAGUUUAAAGUCUGCACUACCCAGUUAGAUAGUUUGGGUCACGCUAUGUGAAUAUGAUCUAAUAUUGAUGAACCGCUGUUCCUUCACCCACAUCCUCGGGAGACACACACGCACAAAGAUGAACAUCUAAUUUGAAUUGUAGGUGGCUCUGUUUACAGCCAGUCUUAAUCUAAGCAUAUACUUUUUUUCAUCAAUGUAUGGAAUUUGUUGUGCACUCACCAUUUUGUAUUUGUAGCAUUGUAGCUUUGUGCAUGUACUUUGUGUUGUCUUUUCUUUUAGAGGUAAUUAGGCGAUACCCCCCCCCCCCGGAAUUCAAGGCAACACAGCGAUACCCCUCCAACUCCAAAAAGAUUUGUGUCACCCCCCCAAAAUUAUUUCCCGGUGAAAAAUAGACUUGAACUGCCAUAAAUACCCUUAUGCCACGUCAGCAAUGGUUUAGGUCAAAUUAAAAGUCUGAUGUGGCGUAAGGGUAUUUAUGGUAGUUCAAGUCUAUUUUUCACCGGAAAGUAAUUUUGAGGGGUUACACAAAUCUUUUUGGAGUUGGGGGGUAUCGCUAUGUUGCCUUGAAUUCCGGGGGGUAUCACUAAUUAGGUCUUUCUUUUAUUUAUGCUGUUGAUCUAAAGUUAUUAAAUUCCUCUGCUUGUGACCAGGAAAUACUUUGAGGAGCCUUGUUUGUGGGUGGAAUCAAACACAACUACCCUUAGCAUACUGACUUCACAUGCGCAGAUUGGGAUGGGAUUUCUCAUGAUCAUCUCAUUACUCUCGUCGGUGUUUAGUUCCCGAUCUUUUAUUUUUCCCUAUAUUUUGUGUAUACUCUCAUUAUGUUUCUAAGUCUAACUUAUGUGAACAGGCAACAUCGCAAUUUCCUACAAACAAUUAUGUACUGGCAGGUUAGUGGUUUUUAUCCUUUACCACAUAUCUAAAAUUAACAAAAUUGUGAGUAUGACCUGUCAAAUCACUAUUGUGUGGUUUUUGGAAAACAAUUUUGAAGAGUUGUCAUAGAGUUUCGUUUCUCUGGAAAUUAAAAUUGGAAGGUUUCUUUCAUUUAUAUCUGCUGGAAACUGCAUGUUCAAUAUUGUUGUCUAUCCUUCUAAUUCUCCCCUUCUGUUUUCGAAUUGAUACUAACAGCUGUUGAAGCUCAUGUACCAUGCCCCUGUUACUGCUGGCUACCAUCAAAGUGCGUGGACUAAGAUUGGCCAGACCAUUUACCCGCUUGUCAACCGGUAUGCUCCAUUCUUGAACACACCACUUACCACUGCUCAGAGAUGGUUUCUCAGUUGAAAUUAACGAGGAGAAUCGGCAACUAGAUGGAGAUCAUCAACUUAUCCCACUGACUUUUCAUUGUUUGGAAGUCUGGUUUCUGACAGGGCUGUGAACCAUAGUAACUAGCUUAGCCAAAUGAAAAUACUAUUAAGUUUUUGUUUGUAACUCAUUGUGCUGCUGUCACAUGUAUGGAAUGAUUACCUUCAUCUGCUGCUACAAAUAUGUCUGAUGUAUACACCAUUUUAAGCUGCUCAGGCAGUGUUUGGAGCGUUUAAGGUCAUUUGAAGACUUGAGUAGGUUCAAAUUGAUUUUCAUCAUGUUUGGAGUUUCAACUAUUUGCCCUAAACACAAUACCUGGUUUCGCAAGAAAGAUUGUUUUCGGGUGUUAUUCUUCCCACCCAAACAAGUUGUUAAAAAACCCAAAUUUUAAAAGUAGUUAAAAGUUGUUAGAAAACCC
rnacentral:lncRNA from 1 species